AUUGAACGCUGGCGGCAGGCCUAACACAUGCAAGUCGAGCGGAUGAAGGGAGCUUGCUCCUGGAUUCAGCGGCGGACGGGUGAGUAAUGCCUAGGAAUCUGCCUGGUAGUGGGGGAUAACGUCCGGAAACGGGCGCUAAUACCGCAUACGUCCUGAGGGAGAAAGUGGGGGAUCUUCGGACCUCACGCUAUCAGAUGAGCCUAGGUCGGAUUAGCUAGUUGGUGGGGUAAAGGCCUACCAAGGCGACGAUCCGUAACUGGUCUGAGAGGAUGAUCAGUCACACUGGAACUGAGACACGGUCCAGACUCCUACGGGAGGCAGCAGUGGGGAAUAUUGGACAAAGGGCGGAAGCCUGAUCCAGCCAUGCCGCGUGUGUGAAGAAGGUCUUCGGAUUGUAAAGCACUUUAAGUUGGGAGGAAGGGCAGUAAGUUAAUACCUUGCUGUUUUGACGUUACCAACAGAAUAAGCACCGGCUAACUUCGUG
rnacentral:rRNA from 1 species